UGUUAAAAGUUUUAUCCAUUUUUAUUAUUAAAAACUAGUAUAGUUGACGAAAUAAUUAAACAAACUACACGUGGUCUGCAAUGUGUACAACAUGUUGACAUAUAGAAACCAAUUUUUAAUAGUAAAAAUGAAUAUAAUUUUUAACA
rfam:Gossypium hirsutum cultivar TM-1 unplaced genomic scaffold scaffold26.1, whole genome shotgun sequence